rnacentral:rRNA from 1 species
UUCCGGUUGAUCCCGCCGGAGGCCAUUGCUAUCGGAGUCCGAUUUAGCCAUGCUAGUCGCACGGGUUUAGACCCGUGGCGGAUAGCUCAGUAACACGUGGCCAAACUGUCCUAUGGAUCGGGAUAACCUCGGGAAACUGAGGCCAAUCCCGAAUAAGGCUUCCACUCUGGAGUGAGGGAAGCUGGAAACGCUCCGGCGCCAUAGGAUGUGGCUGCGGCCGAUUAGGUAGACGGUGGGGUAACGGCCCACCGUGCCGAUAAUCGGUACGGGUUGUGAGAGCAAGAGCCCGGAGACGGAUUCUGAGACAAGAAUCCGGGCCCUACGGGGCGCAGCAGGCGCGAAAACUUUACACUGCACGACAGUGCGAUAAGGGGACUCCGAGUGCGAGGGCAUAUAGUCCUCGCUUUUGUACACCGUAAGGAGGUGUACGAAUAAGGGCUGGGCAAGACCGGUGCCAGCCGCCGCGGUAAUACCGGCAGCCCGAGUGAUGGCCGCUGUUAUUGGGCCUAAAGCGUCCGUAGCCGGCCGAACAAGUCUGUCGGGAAAUCCAUCUGCCUAACAGAUGGGCGUCCGGCAGAAACUGUUCGGCUUGGGGCCGGAAGAUCCGAGGGGUACGUCCGGGGUAGGAGUGAAAUCCCGUAAUCCUGGACGGACCGCCGGUGGCGAAAGCGCCUCGGAAGGACGGACCCGACGGUGAGGGACGAAAGCUGGGGUCUCGAACCGGAUUAGAUACCCGGGUAGUCCCAGCCGUAAACGAUGAUCGCUAGGUGUGGCACAGGCUACGAGCCUGUGCUGUGCCGUAGGGAAGCCGUGAAGCGAUCCGCCUGGGAAGUACGUCCGCAAGGAUGAAACUUAAAGGAAUUGGCGGGGGAGCACUACAACCGGAGGAGCCUGCGGUUCAAUUGGAGUCAACGCCGGG